GGAGAGGUGGCAGAGUGGUUGAAUGUACCUGACUCGAAAUCAGGCAUACGUUAAUAGCGUAUCGAGGGUUCGAAUCCCUCCCUCUCCG
rnacentral:tRNA from 4 species